rnacentral:tRNA from 1 species
GGCCUCGUAGCUCAGCUGGUAGAACGUGCUCGUACAAAACGUAGGCGUCGUCCAUGCGUGGGUUUGAAUCCCACUGAGGCUA